GGUUAGGAGGAUCCUCUCCAUUAGCUCAGGAGAGGAUCCAAAUCCACACGGAUGAAGAUCAUGAUUAAAUACAAUAAAAAAAACCAAUUGGCAUAGGUUAAUCAUGACAAGACUGGAAAAAGCCGAACUUAACGGGAAAAGAAUUGCCACAAUUUUGAAUAAAAAAGAUGUUCACGGAGAGCUUCGGUGGUUAAGAAUAUUUUUUUUACACCAAAGGUUCUUUUCGUUUGAAUCUC
rnacentral:lncRNA from 1 species